rnacentral:lncRNA from 1 species
UUGACUUUUUCAGCGAGGAACUGUGAUCUCACCAACAUUUGUGUGCAAGCCAAGAUUUCGCAGCUCCAACAAAGAAAUCUCGAGACCUCCCAAUAAUCUCUUGGGAGAUAGAAAUUCUUGAGACACGAAUUUCAUUGAAGGUCGAGAUUUUGGAUUUGAAUGCAAGCAAGAAAAUGCCAGACUUGCAAUAAUACAUAUAUUCUGUAUGACAAUUUCAUUUGUUGGAGGUGGCAAACGAGGAUCUAACACUUCUUUCAGUGUCAUAGCCCGAGCAGAUGAUGAUAGGAUAUCUCCCGGAUGCUUUCCCAUCAAAGUUUCAAGCGCCACUACUCCAAAGCUAUAGACAUCACAUUUCUCUGUCACCACCAUAGUAUAAGCCAACUCUGUAGAUAUACAAAACGAAAUAAAAAAAUAUAUAUAUAAAAAAAAACUGAGAGUUUGCUUUAGUUUUGCAGUGCAUGAGUGGUAAAUAUGCAUGUUAAGAAGAAAUAUUUUUACCUGGGGCAAUGUAUCCAUAGGUACCAGCAAGUACAGUAUGGUUGGAUGAAUCAGGAUCGAGAAGUCUAGCCACACCAAAAUCAGCAACAAAAGACUUGGAUUCUGAAUUCAACAGAACAUUGCUGCUUGAUAUGUCUCGAUGAACAAUUGGUGGGUUGCACUCAUGAUGCAAGUAAGAUAAUGCGUGAGCAAUGUCUUUGAUGAUGUGUGCUCUUUUCAUCCACUUCAAUUCCACGGCUCCAACAUCAUUUCUCAAGGCACAAAACAAGCUUCCCUUUUCCAUGUACUCGUAAACAAGAAACAUGCAGCGCUGGUGCAAACAGAAUCCAUAAAGCCUUACAAUGCUCCUGUGACGUAUUUGUGUGAGCAGCUCCACCUCAUUUUUGAAACUCUUGUCAAAAGCCGGCUCCUCUGCCUCGCGAUGAUGAAGUUUCUUCAAGGCAACUAAUUUCCCACUUGGAAGUUGUGCUCGGUAGACGCUCCCAUAACCACCGGAUCCGAUACAAUAUCUGAGGUCGAAGUUCUCGGUCGCUGCAAUGAUGUCUUCGUAUGCAAUCCUCCCAUCAUAAUUCCAUAUGAAAACAAGUCUCCAUUCUUUAAUGAUGUUGGCUCAGGUUGGGUAGCCUUGCAUCGAGACAGAUAACAACAUCCGAGACACGAGACAAAGUGAAAUGGUGGUGAUAGGAAGAAAUAUUUUGAUGGAAUGAAUUAUUCUGUUGUCUUUUGAAGGCAACAAGUAGGUUUUUGAAGGUGGGGGGUAAAUAGAUGGACAACGUGAGAAAUCAGGGUGUAAAUCUUUGUUGCCCUCAAAUGCAGUAGCUUGAAAAAUUUCAGGACUGUUGGUUCUUUGCCCAUGAAGAGAAUCACAGGUGAAAGACACAUCAAAGGGUUGUGGCAAUUGCAAGGGUACAGAGCCUGAGAGGUUAUUGUAACCAAAAUUCACAUAAGAUAAAGAGGGCAAAUUAUAUAGUUGGGAGGGUAUUUGUCCACUUAAAUUACUGUGGCUCAAAUCUAGAUAGGUCAAAUAUUUACAGUUCUUCAAAGAUGAAGCUAUGGAUCCAUUGAUUUGGUUACGAGAAAGGUCUAGUUUCUUCAAAUUGGUUAAACUGCCUAGCAUAAAAGGAAUCGAACCACUGAAAUUGUUUGAAUUCAGACAUAAUUCUUCCAAAUUUGUCAAGUUCUGUAUUUCCAAAGGGAUUGAUCCAUUGAUUUGGUUACGACAAAGGUCUAGCUUCUUCAAAUUGAGUAAACUGCCCAGUAUAGUUGGAACGGAACCACUGAUAUUGUUUGAACUCAGAUGUAAUUCUUCCAAGUUUGUCAAGUUUCGUAUUUUCAAAGCGAUGGAUCCGAUGAUUUGGUUGUUAGAUAGGUCUAGAAAUGUCAAGUUUCUUAAAUUUCCUAAUGAAAUAGGAAUGGAACCAGUGAUCUUGUUGCCUCUGAGAAACAAACGACAUAGAUUUGUCAAAUUUCCUAUUUCUGAAGAGAUGGAUCCAUUGAUUUGGUUGUCAAAAAGAUGCAAAAGAAUCAAAUUGGAUAAAAGACUAAAUAUAGAAGGAAUUGAACCAGCUAGGAUAUUAGAGGAAAGGUCUAAAUGUUCUAGAUUCGUCAAAUUUCCUAUUUGCAAAGGGAUGGAUCCAUUGAUUCCGUUAAAAGAAAGAUCUAGAUUAGUCAAAUCGGAUAAAAAACCUAUCGUUGAAGGAAUUGAACCAACUAGGAUAUUAGAUAUAAGCUGUAAAUCUUUUAGAUUCGUCAAAUUUCCUAUUUCUAAAGGGAUGAAUCCAUUGAUUGCGUUGCGAGAAAGGAUCAAAGACCUCAACUUGGCUAAACUACCCAUUGUUCGAGGGAUUGGACCAUUAAGUCUAUUAUUACUCGCGUCCAAAAUCUCUAGAUUUUUAAGAUUGCCUAGUUCUGGAGGGAUGGAAUUGAUGAAAUUAUUGGAAGAAAAAUCAAGCUCAACUAAUCGGCUGAGAUUUCCAAGUGAAGACGGUAACUCACCAGCUAGAUUAUUUGAGGACAGGUUGAGGUAUCUGAGUUGUGGAAGGAUGGAAAUUUGAGGCGGGAUGCUCCCACUGAGCUCAUGGUUGGGCAGGUGGAGACGGACAAGGUUUGAGAAGCAAGAAAAGUUCAUCUUUCCAAACUUAUUUCCCACCUUGAGGAACUCUGGAGGAGGGGAAAUCUCAGUGAUGCUUCCAGCCCGAUCACAGACUAUGCCAGUCCACUUGCAGCGAUGUGAGGUGAGGUUGCUGUAGUCACUCCACCAUCCACUCUCAAGCAAAGCCUUGCCUUCUGAUGCUAGCAAGGCUGAGUCAUCAAGUGCAGCCACAAGACCAGUACAUGAUACAAAAAUACAGGACAAGAAAAUUGAGGUGCUUAAAAGUGCAAGAAGUUUUGGCUCAUAAUCAAUGGAUGCCAUGUUUGCGUGUAAUGCUUCCCUUCAAUGAUAAUGCUAAAUUUAUGAUUGAAGUGCAUGGUUUUUUCAUGAACUCAUUCCAAGUCAAGUUCCUCUGGUCUUUCACGUGUACUAUUCUUACUGUCUUUUUGAAACCAAAGAUGAUGCAUAUGAUAAUAAAAAAGCCUUGUGAGCAUGCUAAUUUACCGAGGAAAGAUUUUGAAAAUGAGUUUGUUUCACGGUUCGGAGGGGUGGUGCAGUGGUGAAGCAUAUGAUAAUAAGAGCCUGAUGUUGUGUGCUCCAGCAAACAAGUUUUGGGAUUGGGCUUUGCCCUCAGAAAGAGAUGACAGAUGUUGGUCCUGAGGAUUACCCUUCUUUUCCUGGCUUGUCUAAGAGCAUCAGGACAGUUGCACACACCCCAAGGUUUCAUUCUUUUAUAAACCAGAAGCUGAUACGAAGAAAUCAUUUUUUCUGUUAGUAAAUGUCUCUGAGACAAUAAAAACUCUCUUUUAACUUCUUUCGGUUCCAAACAUGAGACAUAAAUCUUGAAGUGGUAUUCCUUUGGAAGAUGAUUGAAAAUCCCAUCUGUGCCAAAUGAUAAAUACCAAAGCACAUCAGUCAGAAAAAAAAUCAAUCUCCAAACACUGCUUUCAGGCAUCCAAUAUACAAGAGCUUGCAGGCACAAAUGGAGUUAACAAAUAUCUUCUGCAUAUUUCAAGUGGGGAUUUGCCUAAUUGUAAGAUGAGUGAUGAUUUCAAUUUAACCUAGACAGUGAUGCUCUAAUUGAUUCUACAGUACACGAGAAAAGUGUGCAUUGUUAAAAUUACAUACAAUGUCACCCUAAAAUAUUAUAAAGACAUUUAAUGUACUAAAAGAAAAAAGUUCUUCCAAAAUUAAGAAAUAUUAUAAACUUCAAUGUGAGCUCAAAGUUCACAUUUUCAACUAGGAACUGUGAUAUCACCUCCAUUUGCGUGCAUGCCAAGAGUUCGCAGCUCCAGCAAAGAAAUCUCAAGACCUGCCAGUGAUCUCUUGGGAGAUAGAAAUUCUUGAGACACGAAUUUUAUUGAAGGUCGAGAUUUUGGAUUCGAAUGUAAGCAAGAGAAUGCCAGAGUUGCAAUAAUACAUAUAUUCUGUAUGACAAUUUCAUUUGUCGGAGGUGACAAACGAGGAUCUAACACUUCUUUCAGUGUAAUAGCCCGAGCAGAUGAUGAUAAGAUAUCUCCUGGAUGCCUUCCCAUCAAUGUUUCUAGCGCCACUACUCCAAAGCUAUAGACAUCACAUUUCUCUGUCACCAACAUAGUAUAAGCCAGCUCUGUCCAUAAACAAAAUGAAAUUAAAAAAAUAAUAUAAAAGAGAGUUUGCUUUAAUGUUGGUGUGCAUGACAUGAGUGAUACACGUAUAUAAAGAAGAAAUAUUUGACCUGGGGCAAUGUAUCCAUAGGUACCAGCAAGUACAGUAUGGUUGGACGAAUCUGGAUCGAGAAGUCUAGCCACGCCAAAAUCAGCAACAAAAGACUUGGAUACUGAAUUCAACAGAACAUUGCUGCUUGAUAUGUCUCGAUGAACAAUUGGUGGGUUGCACUCAUGAUGCAAGUAAGAUAAUGCGUGAGCAAUGUCUUUGAUGAUGUGUGCUCUUUUCAUCCACUUCAAUUCCACGGCUCCAACAUCAUUUCUCAAGGCACAAAACAAGCUUCCCUUUUCCAUGUACUCGUAAACAAGAAACAUGCAGCGCUGGUGCAAACAGAAUCCAUAAAGCCUUACAAUGCUCCUGUGACGUAUUUGUGUGAGCAGCUCCACCUCAUUUUUGAAACUCUUGUCAAAAGCCGGCUCCUCUGCCUCGCGAUGAUGAAGUUUCUUCAAGGCAACUAAUUUCCCACUUGGAAGUUGUGCUCGGUAGACGCUCCCAUAACCACCGGAUCCGAUACAAUAUCUGAGGUCGAAGUUCUCGGUCGCUGCAAUGAUGUCUUCGUAUGCAAUCCUCCCAUCAUAAUUCCAUAUGGAAAACAAGUCUCCAUUCUUUAAUGAUGUUGGCUCAGGUUGGGUAGCCUUGCAUCGAGACAGAUAACAACAUCCGAGACACAAGAGACAAAGUGAAAUGGUGCUGAUAGGAAGAAAUAUUUUGAUGGAAUGAAUCAUUCUGUUAGUUUUUGAAGGUAACGUACAGUUUGAGAGAUCAGGGUGUAAAUCUUUGUUGCCCUCAAAUGCAGUAGCUUUAAAAGUUACUGAAUCGUUUGUAAUUUGCCCGUGAAGAGGUAAAUCACAUGUGAGAUAAAAAUCAAAGGGUGGUGGCAAAUUCAAGGGAACAGGGCCUGAGAGAUUAUUGUAACUAAAAUUCACAUACUGUAAAGA